AGAUUGAACGCUGGCGGAAUGCUUUACACAUGCAAGUCGAGCGGCAGCGCGGGGCAACCUGGCGGCGAGCGGCGAACGGGUGAGUAAUACAUCGGAACAUGUCCAUUUGUGGGGGAUAGCCCGGCGAAAGCCGGAUUAAUACCGCAUACGCCCUACGGGGGAAAGCGGGGGACUUCGCAAGAGGCCUCGCGCGAAUGGGUUGGCCGAUGUCCGAUUAGCUAGUUGGUGGGGUAAAGCUUACCAAGGCGAUGAUCGGUAGCUGGUCUGAGAGGAUGAUCAGCCACACUGGGACUGAGACACGGCCCAGACUCCUACGGGAGGCAGCAGUGGGGAAUUUGGACAAUGGGGGCAACCCUGAUCCAGCCAUUCCGCGUGAGUGAAGAAGGCCUUCGGGUUGUAAAGCUCUUUGUCCGGAACGAAACGGUAGCGUGAAUAUCGCUGCCUACUGACGGUACCGGAAGAAUAAGCACCGGCUAACUACGUGCCAGCAGCCGC
rnacentral:rRNA from 1 species